CAAUUACAAACGUAAUGAAACAUUUAUUUUAUUAACUAUGAAGACAAUUAAGUAGGAAUGAAAUAGCGUCAAAAGAUUUAAAAAUUACAAAUGUGAAAUGUAUUUAAAUACUUAUGUAUAAAAACGUCAUUUAUGAAGACGCGCAUUCGCAACAAGUCAGCAUUGAACGUGAAAUCGGAAGAGAUGUACAGGAAGGAAGUCUUGUGACUUAAGGGGUUGGUGAUAGCUGACGUCUCAACUUUUAACAGAUGAAAAAAGGGCGAAAGUAAACAAAAUUAAAUGACGGAGAAUGCAGCGUCAUUAUUUGUGCUCAAUAUCAUAUUGACAAAGCUGUUUUCUGUGUUUUAUUUAACGAUUUCGGUCGAAACACUAUCAGUUUCAAGUGAGAGAGAGAGAGGAUGGAACGGUCCAUCAAAAGACUAGAGACUGCUCGACAAAACGCGAAGGUGGAGGAUUCGCGAAGGUUGCAGUACAUUCAAAGGACGGUGAACAAAUCACAUUGAAAUGUAAUAAAAACGACAGCUUUCAUGUUUUGCUUGUUGGUGGAGUCCAACUCAACGAACUUAUCGCUCAUCAUGGUCCGUUCGUGAUGAACACGUGGGAGGAGAUAGAUCAAGCCAUUCGUGAUUACCACAUUGAGAAACUGGGAAAGAUCGAUGGUGCUGAAGAAAGAUAUGCUAAAACCGAGAAGACUGUUCGUCAGCAGAAAAAUACGGGCAAUUGGCACAAGUAAUUUUAAUUUCAUAAUUGCAGCUUCUUAAAUGUAAAUACUACUAAUUCUAUGGCACUUCAUAUAUGUUAACUUACUCGUGAAAAGGAUUUUCUGUAGUCGCCAUGUUCUUACGCCAAUGCCAUAAAGAAACAGACUUUCAAAAUUACGUGGAUUUUAUUUUCUAACUAUACUUAAAAACGUACGCCAUAUUGACCUGUUUCAUCGUAAUAUGGUUAUCUGAAGACAAAAACAACAAGAAAUCCAUUUACUUUGCAUGUAUCAUAAAUGUCUAGGUUAAUUAGUUUCAUCCAAAGUUUUCUAUAACGAGCAAAGCAGUUUGGUUUUAUGUGAAAGCUGACAUGCGAAUUCCGUGGAAAGACACUUGUAAUAUUGACACUGACGAGGGCAACUUAAGAAGAUGCAAAUCUAAUGUCUUUGAAAUAAAGACGAAAUAUCGCUUA